rnacentral:tRNA from 1 species
GGGCAAGUGGCGCAGUUGGUAGCGCGCUACCCUUGCAAGGUAGAGGUCAUCGGUUCGACUCCGGUCUUGUCCA